CACGUAGGGGACGAGCGUUGUCCGAAUUCAUUGGGCGUAAAGCGCGCGUAGGCGGCUCGGAAAGUCGGUCGUGAAAUGCCGGGGCCCAACCCCGGGACUGCGUCCGAUACUCCCGAGCUGGAGGCAGGUAGGGGAGAUCGGAAUUCCUGGUGUAGCGGUGAAAUGCGCAGAUAUCAGGAGGAACACCGGUGGCGAAGGCGGAUCUCUGGGCCUUGCCUGACGCUGAGGCGCGAAAGCUAGGGGAGCAAACAGG
rnacentral:rRNA from 1 species